CAAAAAUGAUGCGAUAUUAAAGGUGAUGGCUUUGACCAUUUCAGAGGUGCUCAGUUUUCCUGGGUCUCUCUGAUAUACACAUACUCCUUAACUUUUGUUUUUCUCCUGCUAAUCUGACUUAUAUCAAUUUAAUUAUUAGAUCAAAGAACCUAGAAGGGAAGAAAGGAGAAUUUUUCUGCCCCUGAAGAUGAUAACCAUGAAGGGACAAACUUCACUAGUUGGAUACUGCUCACUUCAUGCCUGCUGGCAGCUGAGAGAUUCUAUGACCACUGACAAAAGCUAGCAGAAGGCAUACCUUGGAAAGCCCACCUGAAAGACCUACAUCCUUAAAUGAAACACAACUCUUUAAAAUGACCUAUUCUCAGGUCUGAGAGACUGGCUCACUGAGAUCAUCCAAAGAACAGAAGAAUGGAAAAUUUUCUGUCCCUAUGCAGAUACACAAGUUACACAUCCCUUUUUGCUACUUAUGCAACCUAGAACUCACGGCAGAAGCGUAGCUUCUUGGAGCCAAGAGAAUAAAAAGACAUCAGCAUUAUCAGCUUAAGCUAUGUACCCUCUCUAAGCAACUUUAUUUGUAAAGAUGCUAGUAAAUAAAAAUACACAAGUUGCAAAGAAAGUCUAAACAUGUAUUCUUUUUUUUUUUUUUUCAAAGUCUAUUUAUUGUAGCAAUCCCUGCACCCAGUGUGGGACUUGAACUCACGACCUCGAGAUCAAGAGCCACAUGCUCUACUGACUGAGCCGGCUAGGCACCUGAAAAAUAUGGAAAGAAUACCACUGGGAAAAAUAGAUGUUCAAUGCCAACAAUAAGGAAAAAUUCAAAUAGAAGACAAACUACCCGUCAUAUAGUGCAAAAUAAGGGAUAAAAAAAUCAGGGUAAAAGACUGCCUUUGGGACAUACCUAUUAUAGAUAAAAGACUUAAACAUUCUAAUAUUAAACAAUUUUAUUCAUAUGGGUCUUCUCUAAAGGCCCUGCCACACAAUGCCCAGAGAUGUAAGUGCAAAUGUGCUCACUUCAUACUGUGAGUAAUGGUUUAAAAAAAAAAAAAAAAAGGAGUGACCAGAAACACUAACAUCUAACUGCUCAUUUGGGGAAAUGGAUAAAUAAAUUGAGUUAUUCAAAAAAUGGAAUACUUUACAAAACAUUAGAAUGAUGUACUAGGUCUCCAUGAAAUAGGGAAGCCGAAAGGACUCCAGUUGAGAAAAUCUUUAUUUCUGCUGUUUUUCUGCAAGGUCCCAUUUCUGGAUAAGCCAAAACACUAUAUUCCCACCUCAAGGGGAAAACAAGAAAAUUAAUAAUUCUCUGAGUUUUGUGCUACGCCCCAAACACCUGAUAACAUUUAAGAAGAGCCAGAUCCCAAACAUGUUCCAGAAUAUCAGCUCUGAACAAUCCUCUGCUGACGCUGGCAUCAACCCUCCUUACCGUCAGUGAUUUAUGCAAUAAUACCUAUUGUUCACCUGACACUCACCUUUGAUAGAUUACCCUAGAUUCCUACUCUAGAUUCCUGGAGGCACAUGGACCCUAGACCCCUUUCCAGGAUAAAUUCCUAACCGCACGUGACAGGGAAACUCACUCUCCUUUCCUUUGAGUCUCCCAGACACUCUGUCUGCUUUUCUCUGACACACUAUUCAAUAAACUGUUUUUAAUUUCUCCGGCUCAUGUUUGAUUUCUAUGCUGCAUGAAGCCAAGGACCUUACUGGCUAGUCCUACAGGACCCUCCUCCAUAUCCUUGGACCCAGCCUACCUGCAUCAUCCAUAUGUCCAAUAUGGAAAAAAUGCAAAAACACAAUACUGAGUUAAAAAAGUAAAUUGCAAGAUGUCCCCUUUAAGAUAGCAUUUAUGUUAGAUUGUUUUAAAAGGAUUCAUUUAUUUUUGAGAGCAAGUGGGGGAGGAGCAGAAAUGGUGGGAGACAGAAGAUCUGUUGAAGCAGGGCUCAAAACUCAUGAGCAGUGAGACCAUGAC